AUGUUGUACUUUCUUUUCUUGUAUUUUGAUGUAAUUGUGAAUACACUGUCAAACAAUAAACACAAACACUAGAAAAUUAACACUGCAAUAGACAUAAUCAAAUGUGCAAUACACAGUUUGAAGAACAAAAAGGUUUUACUGCUCUGCUGCCUCCCCAAAAAUGAGCACUACUUGAACGACAAAAAUGUAGUGUUCCAGACUGGAUAAAAUGAUCAAGAGCAACAAACAAAGGAUCUUCAGAAGAAAAGACUUUCUGAUUCUUUACAAUCAAUCAAUGAAUAGCACUAAUGAAAGAAAAAGCUACCAACAAAACCAUUACCAACUUUGAUCUUCUUUUGUAUAGAUGGCGUUGCCUCGUAAAUCUCUCUGCCACUUGCAACAAUCCUGUUAUUAUCGUUCAUGCUCUUGGUGGCAUGAGAAUCACAACUCCGUCGUGUGGGCAAUGGGCGAAAUGGUUUCUUAACAUUGACGAUAAUCUUCGAGCCUUAAAAUUGAAGGCCAAGUGAUUUAUGCCACUAUUCGUGGUAAACAAACUAUAAUAUCAUGUUGGCAGUACACACUAAUUCUCGAUAUGAAGCAUUAAAGUAUUCAAUCAACUUAGAUACUUUUGUUUAAAUAAAAAAUGCUAACAUAAAAUUUUGGAUUUUUAGUAGCAGAUAUUCGUAGGUCCACAGUUGAGAAUAGCCCCAUUGAUAUUUCACAAGGUACUGUUUACAAGCCCAUUCCUGAUGAUGCAGCAAGAUAUAAUCAUCAUGCAAGAAUUAUAAUUAUUAUUAUCUAGUUGAUAAAUGUACAAUCGGAUACACAACUUUCACAUCAGUAACUCAUAUACAGUACAUAAUGUCAAUUCAAAAUCUAGCCCCAGUUUGACAGCCAUUUUCAUAAAGAAUAAGUUUUUGAAUUGUUAUUUUUUGGAGUAUGUGUGGUUAGAAGUAGGAAAUAUUUUGGAUUUUCAUAAAGAAUAUUUAACUGUGAGAAUGUGCGGUUAAAAAUGAGUAUGAGAAAUAAAGAGUUUUGAAAGGAUGUUUACCAAACAGGGGCCUAGUAUCAAUAUCAAAAAGUGUCUCUCCAAAUGUAUGGCCUGUGAAAGCCAAUGAAUAGAAAAUGCUUCAAGUUCCUAAGAACAUUUGAAACAAGCAAUUAUGAACAAUAAAUCACAAUUUAGAUUUCUAACAGGUUUUUUUAUGAUGGAAAAUAGAUAAUUUAUUUUAUUCAAAGAAUUAAGCAAAUAGAGUUAGAUUACUUUCCGUAUUUACAAACUAAUUUAAACAUAAGAUGCCAGACAUGUUCAUCAUGAAAUACAUUGAUGGAUAGCAUAUCCUAUAGUUCACCUGAAGCUGUAAACUUAUACAAAAGCCUAAUAUUGUCUAGACAAAUGUGACAUGAUAUAUGCGAAGAGAUAGAUGCAGUACCUUUAAAGAACCACUCUAAUCGAUCCAUGGAAAAGAAGAUGUGAUGCUUUAUGAAUUCGAGAAACACAAUUCACUGAACGAACAACCAAUUUCCUCAAUUUUUUCUCAACACACAGAAACAGCUGCAUCCUGGAGGUCAUCCCAGCUUGAUGUGCUAUUGUCUAGAACAUUGAUUACAUUUCAUAAAUCCUCAUUACUACCAUAUGCACCAGUAUCACGUCCAUUAUUCCAUAAGGAAUCUGCCUUCCUUUGCCGCAAUCUUGGAAGAUUGUGUGAUUUAUACCCAAGGUACUUCAUUAAACUACAUGCAUCGUUGUCUAUUUCAAUAUUCCUACCAAUCAUUUCAUGUAUGAUAGAUUUGAUCGUCUUUACGUCUCAAUUCUUACACAAAUCAGAGAGUAUUAAAUUAUAUGUGUGCUUGUUUGGAGGUACAGCCAUCUGCUUCAUUCGGCUAAACAAAGCAUAAGCCUCUCCCAUUUGACUACUCCUGAUAAGUCCGCCAAUGGCGACAUUUUAUGACACAACAUGAAGUGGAAACUCUGUAGCUGCUUUUUUGAAUAAUCUGGUUGCUCUAAAUGGGUGACCUGAAUUUAUAAGCCCAUUGACAAUUAUAGUAUGGAUGUGAGCAUAAAAUGUAAGGAUGAGUUCGAACAAUUUCACAAUACACAUUAACUGCUUCUUGUAUCCUACCCAAACUGCACAGUGCACUAAGUAAUCCAGAAAAACUAUAUUUAUCUGGUGUAAACCCUCUAUCUAUAAUAUUGAUAUAAAAUCCAUGGCACCUUCCGGAUAACCAGCUUUACAAAAAUAGCUAAGAAGAGAAUUACAUACUACCAAGUCAGGUUCUAUAGCCAGGCCACUUAUUAGCAAAAGUAGAAGAACGUAUUGUCUAGACAAGCAAAAUAGUUGACAUCAGAGAAGCAAAACAUCAAGUAUUAGUUGUCGUUCUCUCAAACUGGAGAAAACUUCAAAUGCAUCAUCAUACAUCCCCAUCUUAGAGAGACAAUCUAUCAACACAUUGGAAAGAACCAAAUCAGAAUAACAUCCUUCCAAUUCCAGAGCAUUAAGGAUCUCAAAUGCCGUGAUGUACAUUUGAGAUUCCAAGAAUCUCCUUAAUUAUAGGUGUGCAUGUGACAAUGUUUGGAGAACACCCACUCUCCAACAUCUUCUCAAGUAGAUAAGCUGCAAUAUCAAUCCGCCCAGACUUACAGAAUCCAUCUAUUAAUAUACUCCAAACGUUCACAGAAAUUGAAGCACCCAAGACUAGGGCUGGACAUGAUCCGGUUCCGUUCGGUUCUAACGAGAAUCGAACUGACUCGAAAUUUUCGGGUAUUUAGUAAGUGGAACCGUCGGGUUGGUUUGGUCCGAUUCCAUUCAGUUCCGUAUUAUAAUUAAAUUUUUUAAUAUAUACAAAAUUACGUUAAUUUAAUUAAUGAUAUGUUCAAUAUUAGUUCUUACAAAAUAACGUAGUUCAAUCUUAUGUGUUUUAUGUUUCUCUUUGUUGAAUUCUUCAUAAAUUUGAUUAUUAAAAUUACAGAAAGAAAAAGAUAGCGAGCUCAAAAUAAUUAAGAGAGAUGUUGUAAAGUUUUAAUUCGAUUUUCUCUGAUAGAAACGACACUACAGUAGAAUAACAGAUUUGGAUAAAAUUGAGAUCAAUUUGAUUAAAUUGAUUUUGAACUGAAAAUUAGAAAUAGGAAAAUCAUAUUUUGUGUUUUGAACUAAAUUAACUAGUUAACAAAUUUAUUUAGAAAAAAUAAAAUAAUUUUACUUAUUUAAAAUAAAUUAAUUAAAAAAAUUACGGAGAUUCGGUUCUUAUUCGGUUCUUGGGGUCUUGGCCUAGAACCGAGAACUAAACCAUACCCGUUGGUUUUUGAUUCAAAUACCGUUCGGGUAUUUAAUUUGAGAACAACCGUCGGGUUCGGUUCGGUCGAUUCGGUUCGAGAGUUUUGUCUAGCCCUACCCAAGACUACCAUUAGGCCUAGUAGCUGUAGUGCCUCAGACAACCUAGUGAAUUUGCAAAAACAAUUCAAAACCAAUGAAAACGUCUUGGAAUUGAGAUAAUACCCUUUCGACAACAUGGACCUAAGUGCACCUUUGAGAUUGUUAAAAUCAUUCUAUUUGAACAAAUUACAAAUUGCAAUGCUAAAAGACAAGAAAUUUGGGGCCUGAGUCUCCUUUAGAACUUGAAGGCAACAUUUACAUGCCCAAUCUCGAAAAGAACAUCCAUAAAAAUAUUCCGAGCAUAUGAAUUUGGAGUGUAACAAUACUUGCACAUCUCCUCAAACACAUUGAUAAUGAGUACAUACAUUGCUCUGCCUCCACACCAGUAAAUUCGCAGUAAAAGCAGAAAAGUUUGAGCCUUUAUAAUACAACCAAUAUUUUCCAAUUCCUCAAGUGUUCCUCGCAUCGUUCUAAAUCUCGUAGUAAGGUUAGAAACCACACUUACCAUGUGAAGAAAAGUGCUUUUGUCAUGAAAGCAAUUGGGUAGCUUGGCACACCACAGGAAAAAGCUUAGAGCAAUCAAAUCAGAAGAGUAGCUUGGCAGAGCGGAUUGCACAACUUGAGGGGGGUAAGGAUACUGUUUUGUGAAAAAGACCCCCCCCCCCCCCCCCCCCAACACCCAAACUUGUUGAUUCAGAGCAAAUUUACUGGAAAACGAAUUUUCUAGUUUUUCUUUUGUAUUGAAUUAAAUUGGCGAAGAAAUUUUUGAAUUGAUACUAAAGACUGUAAUUUGGAUGGAAAGAAUCUGAACUUUUCUAUGAACUUUUUACUCUGCCUCCAUCCAGAUAACAUCUCUAAUGUCUUCUAUUUAAGAAAUCUGAAAGAAGCAUAAUGAACUCAGUUCAAAUUUGAUUGGGUAAACAGAGAACUGAAGAUUGAACAUAAAAUAAAUUUGAAAAGAAUGUUCUUGUUAAAAGAGAGAUUGUUUUGAGGGUCAAAAAUUUCCAACUCUGAUUAAAGAAUUUAUGGGUUCCUCCCUCACUCUCUGUUUCUUUAUUUUUGGUUGCAAAGCAGAUGUCUUCUUAUUAGGUUAAGGCUGGAGGAAAUACAAAAAUGAACGGUCGAUCAGGCUAUAUUUCCAAACUGG
rnacentral:lncRNA from 1 species